rnacentral:ribozyme from 14 species
CCUUCUUUUUUGUUUACUCUCUUUUUCUCUCUUUCGCUCUCGAAUUGUGUGGAUGAUGAUGAUGAAAUGAAAUAGGGAGAGAAAAGCAGAGAAAGAGAAUGAAUGCAUGGAACGCUGUUUGUUUGUUGAAGAAUAAAAACACGAGUGGAGCAAAAACAAUUG